rnacentral:rRNA from 1 species
AAUCGAACUCGGAGAUAGCUGGUUCUCCCCGAAAUAGCUUUAGGGCUAGCCUCGAUUUAGAUUACCGGGGGUAGAGCACUGAAUGGGCUAGGGGGCCACAAAGCUUACCGAACCCUAUCAAACUUCGAAUACCGGAUAAUUGAUGAUCGGGAGUCAGACAGUGUGAGAUAAGUUUCAUUGUCGAAAGGGAAACAGCCCAGAUCUACGACUAAGGUCCCAAAGUUCAAGUUAAGUGGAAAAGGAUGUGCAAUUGCGUAGACAACCAGGAUGUUGGCUUAGUAGCAGCCAUUCAUUCAAAGAGUGCGUAAUAGCUCACUGGUCGAGUGAUUGUGCGCCGAAAAUGUAACGGGGCUAAACUUGACACCGAAGUCUAGGCAGAAGGAAACUUCUGGGUAGGGGAGCAACGUGUACGGGCAGAAGCAGAAGCGGAAGCGACUGUGGACUGUACAGGAGAGAGAAUGCCGGCAUGAGUAGCGAGAGCAAAGUGAGAAUCUUUGCCGUCGAAAGCCUAAGGUUUCCUGAGGAAGGCUCGUCCUCUCAGGGUAAGUCGGGACCUAAGCCGAGGACAACAGUCGUAGGCGAUGGACAAUCGGUUAAUAUUCCGAUACCGCCGAGCAACCGGAUGCAGUGACACAGAAGGAUAGGCAGAGCGUGGCGAUGGUAGACCACGUCCAAGCAGUGAGGCUGUUGUGUAGUGAAGUACGCACAACGUAAGGCUGGGCUGUGAUGGGGAACGAUUACGAUCGGUAAGCUGCUGAAUUCACGCUGGCGAGAAAAGCUGCUACGAAGCGAAGGCGCCCGUACCGCAAACCGACACAGGUAGGCGAGGAGAGAAUCCUAAGACGAGCGGGAGAACCCUUGUUAAGGAACUCGGCAAAAUGACUCCGUAACUUAGGGAGAAGGAGUGCCCAGGAAUGGGCCGCAGAGAAUAGACCCAAGCGACUGUUUACCAAAAACACAGGUCUGUGCGAAGUAGAGAUACGACGUAUACGGGCUGACACCUGCCCAGUGCCGGAAGGUUAAGGGGAAAUGUUAGGGCAACCGAAGCAUGGAACUUAAGCCCCGGUGAACGGCGGCCGUAACUAUAACGGUCCUAAGGUAGCGAAAUUCCUUGUCGGGUAAGUUCCGACCCGCACGAAUGGUGUAACGAUUUGGGUACUGUCUCAACAAGGGACCCGGCGAAAUUGUAGUAUGUGUGAAGAUGCACAUUACCCGCGAUAGGACGGAAAGACCCCGUAGAGCUUUACUGUAGUUUAACAUUGGAUUCCGGUAACAUAUGCACAGGAUAGGUGGGAGGCGGAGAAGCAGUGAUUUCGGUUGCUGCAGAGCCGACGUUGGGAUACCACUCUUGUGUUACUGGGGUUCUAACCUGUGGCCGUGAUCCGGCACAGGAACAGUGUUAGAUGGGCAGUUUGACUGGGGCGGUCGCCUCCAAAAGAGUAACGGAGGCGUCCAAAGGUUCCCUCAGAAUGGUUGGAAACCAUUCGAAGAGUACAAAGGCAGAAGGGAGCCUGACUGCGAGACCGACAGGUCGAGCAGGGACGAAAGUCGGGCUUAGUGAUCCGGCGGUAUAGAGUGGAAUUGCCGUCGCUCAACGGAUAAAAGCUACCUCGGGGAUAACAGGCUUAUCUCCCCCAAGAGUCCACAUCGACGGGGAGGUUUGGCACCUCGAUGUCGGCUCGUCGCAUCCUGGGGCUGAAGCAGGUCCCAAGGGUUUGGCUGUUCGCCAAUUAAAGCGGCACGCGAGCUGGGUUCAGAACGUCGUGAGACAGUUCGGUCCCUAUCCAUCGUGGGCGCAGGAGAUUUGAGAAGAGCUGUCCUCAGUACGAGAGGACCGGGAUGGACGCACCAAGGGUGUAUCAGUUGUCACGCCAGUGGCACAGCUGGGUAGCCAAGUGCGGAUCGGAUAAACGCUGAAGGCAUCUAAGCGUGAAGCCGACUUCAAGAUAAGAUCUCCCAUCCGCAAGGAGUAAGGCCCCAUGUAGACCACAUGGUUGAUAGGUCGCAGGUGGAAGUGCAGUAAUGUACGCAGCUGAGCGAUACUAAUAGGCCGAGGGCUUGAUCA